GACGAACGCUGGCGGCGUGCUUAACACAUGCAAGUCGAACGGAAAGGCCCUGCUUUUGUGGGGUGCUCGAGUGGCGAACGGGUGAGUAACACGUGAGUAACCUGCCCUUGACUUUGUGAUAACUUCAGGAAACUGGGGCUAAUACCGGAUAGGAGCUCCUGCUGCAUGGUGGGGGUUGGAAAGUUUCGGCGGUUGGGGAUGGACUCGCGGCUUAUCAGCUUGUUGGUGGGGUAGUGGCUUACCAAGGCUUUGACGGGUAGCCGGCCUGAGAGGGUGACCGGCCACAAUAGGACUGAGAGACGGCCCAGACUCCUACGGGAGGCAGCAGUGGGGAAUAUUGCACAAUGGGCGGAAGCCUGAUGCAGCAACGCCGCGUGCGGGAUGACGGCCUUCGGGUUGUAAACCGCUUUCGACUGUGACGAAGCGUGAGUGACGGUAAUGGGUAAAGAAGCACCGGCUAACUACGUG
rnacentral:rRNA from 1 species